GUAUGUGGAUGGAGUGAUCAUGAAGUGGAUGCAGUGAACAUUCAGUGAUUGCGGGGCACCUGAAAUGCCACUUCAGCUGCAUACAGUGUCCCUGCAGUGUUUGUAGUGCUGCCUGCAUUGUCUGGGAAUGUGGAUGCAGUGCCCAGGCAGUGUAAGCAGUGUCACACAAGUUGGAUGCAGUAUGUUGUGACAGCAGAUGCAGUGCCCAUGAAGGCAGAUGCAGUGAUCCUGCAGUGAUUGCAAUGCAUCUGUAGUGCCACUUCAGGUGGAUCCAGUGUCCCUGCAGUGGUUACAGUGCCUGGUGCACUGUCCCUGAACGUGGCUGCUGUGCCCAUGCAAUGGCUACAGUGUCACAGAGGUAGAUGCAGUAUGUUGUGUUGUAGGAAGCAGUGGCCAUGAAGAUGGAUGCAGUGAUCCUGCAGUGGUUUCAGUGCCCCCUGCAGCAUCCCCAAAUGAGAAUGCCGUGCACUUGCAGUGGAUUCAGUGACCCACAAGGUGGAUGAAGUAUGUUAUGACGGAUGAUGCAUUGCCAAUGAAGGUGCAUGCAGUGUUCCUGCACUGGUUGUCGUGCCCCCUUCUGUGUCCCUGAUUCUGGAUGCAGUGCCCAUGCAGUGGAUGCAGUGUCCCACAAGGCAGAUGCAGUAUGUUGUAAUGGAGGAUGCAGUGCCCAUGAAGGUGGAUGCAGUGAUCCUGCAGUGGUUUCCGUGCACACUGCCGUGUCACUGAAUGUGGAUGCAGUGAACAAGCAGUGGACGUACUGAACAUUCAGUGAUUGCAGUGCACCUUCAGUGUCACUUCAGCUGAAUGCAGUGUUGCUGCAGUGGUUGCAGAGCCCACUGCCCUUUCUUUGAAUGUGGAUGUAGGGCCCUUGCAGCCUCUGCAGUGUGACCCAAGGUGGAUGCAGUAUGUUGUGAAGUAGGAUGCAGUACCCAUGAAGGAGGCUGCAGUGAUCCUGCAUUCAUUGCAGUGCACCUGCAGUGUCCAUUCUUCUGGAUUCAGUGUUCCUGAACGUGGAUUCAGUGCUCAGGCAGUGAUGAUGUGUGUUGUCAUGGAGAAUGGAGUGCCCAUGAUGGCGGAUGCAGUGAUCCAGCAUUGAUGGCAGUGCAUCUGAGGUUCCACUUCAGGUGGAUCCAGAGUCCCUGCAGUGGUUGCAGUGCCUGUUGCACUGUCCCUGAACGUGGAUGCAGUUCCCCUGCAAUGGCUGCAG
rnacentral:lncRNA from 1 species